rnacentral:rRNA from 1 species
AGAGCGAACGCUGGCGGCAGGCUUAACACAUGCAAGUCGAGCGGGCGUAGCAAUACGUCAGCGGCAGACGGGUGAGUAACGCGUGGGAACAUACCUUUUGGUUCGGAACAACACAGGGAAACUUGUGCUAAUACCGGAUAAGCCCUUACGGGGAAAGAUUUAUCGCCGAAAGAUUGGCCCGCGUCUGAUUAGCUAGUUGGUGAGGUAACGGCUCACCAAGGCGACGAUCAGUAGCUGGUCUGAGAGGAUGAUCAGCCACAUUGGGACUGAGACACGGCCCAAACUCCUACGGGAGGCAGCAGUGGGGAAUAUUGGACAAUGGGCGCAAGCCUGAUCCAGCCAUGCCGCGUGAGUGAUGAAGGCCCUAGGGUUGUAAAGCUUCUUUUGUGUCGGGAAGAUAAGUGACGGUACCGACAAGAAUAACGCCCCGGCUAACGUUCGCGCCAGCAGCCGC